GCCAGCUGCCAUAUCAACCUGCAGCUCACAACUGGCAACCCACUGAAGCUAAGCAGGUGUGAGCCCAGCCAGUGCCUGGAUAGGAGACCUCCUGGGAAAAACUAAGGUUACUGUUUGAA
rnacentral:rRNA from 1 species